GCCCGAAUCCUGACACAGGGAGGUAGUGACAAGAAAUAACAAUACAGGGCCACUUUGGUCUUGUAAUUGGAAUGAGUACAAUUUACAUCUCUUCACGAGGAUCAAUUGGAGGGCAAGUCUGGUGCCAGCAGCCGCGGUAAUUCCAGCUCCAAUAGCGUAUAUUAAAGUUGUUGCAGUUAAAACGCUCGUAGUCGGAUUUCGGGGCGGCUUCGUCGGUCUGCCGAUGGGUAUGCACUGACGCGGGCGUCCUUCCUUCCGGAGACGCGUCCUACUCUUAGCUGAGCGGGGCGCGGAGACGGAUCGUUUACUUUGAAAAAAUCAGAGUGUUUCAAGCAGGCAUCAUCGCUCUUGCAUGGAUUAGCAUGGGAUAAUGAAAUAGGACCUUGGUGCUAUUUUGUUGGUUUCGA
rnacentral:rRNA from 1 species